rnacentral:snRNA from 1 species
GUACUCACUUCAGCAGCAUAUGUACUAAAACUAGAAUGAUACAGAAAAGUUAGCAUGCACAAGUUUGGUAUGCAAAUUUGUGAAGCAUUCCAUAGUUUU